rnacentral:rRNA from 1 species
UCUACGGCCAUACCACCCUCAACACGCCUGACCUUGUCUGAUCUCAGGAGCUAAGCAGGGUCAGGCCUGCUUAGUACUUGAAUGGGAGACCACCUUGGAAUAAAAAAAAAGUGGCUGACAGAU